rnacentral:rRNA from 1 species
CCUACGGGAGGCAGCAGUAGGGAAUCUUCCACAAUGGGCGAAAGCCUGAUGGAGCAACGCCGCGUGAGUGAUGAAGGUCUUCGGAUCGUAAAACUCUGUUAUUAGGGAAGAACAUAUGUGAAAGUAACUGUGCACAUCUCGACGGUACCUAAUCAGAAAGCCACGGCUAACUACGUGCCAGCAGCCGCGGUAAUACGUAGGUGGCAAGCGUUAUCCGGAAUUAUUGGGCGUAAAGCGCACGUAGGCGGGUUUUUAAGUCUGAUGUGAAAGGCGUGGGCUUAACCGUGGGAGUGCAUUGGAAACUGGAAGACUUGAGUGCAGAAGAGGAAAGUGGAAUGCCAAGUGUAGCGGUGAAAUGCGUAGAGAUAAGGAGGAACACCAGUGGCGAAGGCGGCUUUCUGGUCUGUAACUGACGCUGAGGUGCGAAAGCGUGGGGAGCAAACAGGAUUAGAUACCCCAGUAGUC